UGCGUAGGGGGCAAGCGUUAUCCGGAUUUACUGGGUGUAAAGGGAGCGUAGACGGCCAGACAAGUCUGAAGUGAAAAUCCAGCGCUUAACGUUGGAAGUGCUUUGGAAACUGCCGGGCUAGAGUGCAGGAGGGGCAGGCGGAAUUCCUAGUGUAGCGGUGAAAUGCGUAGAUAUUAGGAGGAACACCAGUGGCGAAGGCGGCCUGCUGGACUGCAACUGACGUUGAGGCUCGAAGGCGUGGGGAGCAAACAGG
rnacentral:rRNA from 1 species